CAGCAGCGCGCGCCACCAGCGCCGCAGCCACGCGGCCACGCCGCGCUCCUCCGACUCUGCAACGUGCACGCUGUCUGCAUUACCGCAUCAGGUGUCGCGGCAUGCUAAUGUGGCGAGCGGCGGACAGCGGCGGCUACGUCGCAAGACGUGCUGGUGCUCCGAGAACAUAAUCGUCAGUUAUAAAUAUAGCAGCCACGAUAACACCAAAAGUGACGAUAAGGAAAGGCCAAAGUUCCCGUUACAUCGUAACAGCUUAAAUAUUUCCUACUUAAAAACAUUCAGCCAAUACUUAAGUAUUAUUUCUA